AAUAUAGACUGAUUUGUUUCCGCCACUUUUAUUUUUAAUUUAAAUGAAAAUUUUAUUCAGUGUGUAUGGCAGCUUACGACCCACCAUUUUAUUUGACAGAAACAGAGUUGAAGUAAAAAUGUCCGUCAAGAGUUAUUGAAGAACUGUCUGUGGAGGAAAUAUUCCAGUUAAUAAAACUGCGCAACUGAUUCGGAAUGACCGAAAUCGUUAUUGGAACUUUUCUUGUCAACUCCUUCAGCAAUACAGCCGCGAGAAAUCGAGCUGCUGAUUCCACCCCGUCGCUUGCGGAGCGAACCAAGUUUAUUCAUUAAGAAGACAUUGAGAUAGUCGCGCAAGUACUAAUGCCAUUUUUAAUCUCCAAUCAUUUUGGUAAAAUAUAAGGAUCUACCAAAAAUCCAAGAAAUUCCAGCAAAUAGCGGCAGCUCUGAAUCACGCGGGAUUCAUGAACGGCCUCCUAUUUUUUGUAAUGUUCUGCAGGCAGAUUAAAUCCUUACGUAAAUUGUUGGAUAUAUGAUGAAAACAAAAAUAUAAGGUAUUCAAAGUU